CAGUCGCCACGGUAAUACGUAGGUGGCAAGCGUUGUCCGGAAUUAUUGGGCGUAAAGCGCGCGCAGGUGGUUUAAUAAGUCUGAUGUGAAAGCCCACGGCUCAACCGUGGAGGGUCAUUGGAAACUGGGAAACUUGAGUGCAGAAGAGGAGAGUGGAAUUCCACGUGUAGCGGUGAAAUGCGUAGAGAUGUGGAGGAACACCAGUGGCGAAGGCGACUCUCUGGUCUGUAACUGACGCUGAGGAGCGAAAGCGUAGGGAGCGAACAGGAUUAGAUACCCGAGUAGUCCCUGUCUCUUAUAC
rnacentral:rRNA from 1 species